GAAUUGGUAGCUUGUGCUUCUCUAUGGU
rnacentral:sRNA from 1 species